UGUAGCGCUAACCGUAGGAUUUUAUUUUUGAGUUUCAUGCACGGUAGAUUAUUGUAUCUGUAACAACUUGAUCAUUAUUAGCACGUAUGUUAGAAAUUUAAAUCACAAUCAGAGAAACGUGUUGUUAUAGUUGAGAACUUGAGAUCAUUUAGUUUUUUUCGAUGCAGUACCUGAUGUGACGGUUUACGUAGCACUGAUUCCAGUCUCUUGUCAUCAAAGUGGUCAUCAAAGAUGUGAGCGUAGCCCCGUACCGUAGCCCCGUACCGUAGCCCCGUACACUGAGGACCUUUGAAAAUUGUGAUGAACGUGGUGUUGGAAACAUUUUGAAUCUGCUCUCCCAACAGCCGACAAUGCGCUUGUAAAGCACGUAGUACACUUCAACUGGAGGGGCGGAGCUCCAGUCAAACUGAUGAAAAUAUUAAUGACCGGUUCAGUUCGUCAGUUCGGGCCUCCAGUAUAGGCGUUCCCAUCAGUUUCACUUGAAGUAUAACGCUUGCUUAACCGAUAGAACCAUCCGUCGGUUCAGAAAAAAUUCGUUGGAACCGGAGUGGCAAAAACGCCCAGCAGACAUUCUUGCUACUUUCGGAGUAACCGUAAAAGAGUAGAAAAGUUUGUCUAGCAGAGAGGACAAUAUUUCUAAGCACCUCAUGUCAUCCAUGGUCGGAAAAACCUGAUUGUGACUUCCGUGUUUGCACCAUCGCUGAACUGGAGUGCUAUAGGUGACCUAACUACCGCGUUAUUAUGCCGGCGUGUUUGCGUUGGAGACAAGAUUUACGCGUUAGGUGGCGCCGUUGAUGAUGAUACGGAAGGGUUCAUUGAGGUUUAUGAUGAACCGUCGGAUACCUCGUCCCAUAUCGAAAGCACACUGCAGAGACGUGCAUUCGGUUGUGCAGUGAUGCGCAUUCCCAAAAGCUCCACUGACUCGAAAAAAGAAAUGUGGAUUUCCGACUGUACUGCUUCAGUAAAGUUCCUCGAUAACGCCGUGUAUAAAUUGUUCGGGUUAUUCACUAAAUUCAAGGUUUGAUCACUCUUUUCAAAGUUUGUGUCCUGGCUGAAACGUUUCCUGACUCCGAAUGUCUUGUUCUUCGGCAUUUCCAACGGUUUCUUCUAUUAUCUUGUAAGCAGCCAGCGCCAUGUGGCACAUUACGGAUACAUGAUGGACUGCUGAUGUCAUGGCCAUUAAUUUGAAAUAACGCUUAUAAUAAUGUCAUAUUCGAUUUCACUUCGUUGUAUCGUAUCCCCUCUGUAGCGCAUGUUAGAAAUGAGCUUGUGUUGGGAAUUCAAACUGGGCCAAACACAUGUAUGUAAACUGGAGCAGGUUUGUGGCUGCC